GACGAACGCUGGCGGCGUGCUUAACACAUGCAAGUCGAACGGAAAGGCCCUGCUUUUGUGGGGUGCUCGAGUGGCGAACGGGUGAGUAACACGUGAGUAACCUGCCCUUGACUUUGGGAUAACUUCAGGAAACUGGGGCUAAUACCGGAUAGGAGCUCCUGCUGCAUGGUGGGGGUUGGAAAGUUUCGGCGGUUGGGGAUGGACUCGCGGCUUAUCAGCUUGUUGGUGGGGUAGUGGCUUACCAAGGCUUUGACGGGUAGCCGGCCUGGGAGGGUGACCGGCCACAUUGGGACUGAGGUACGGACCAGACUCCUACGGGAGGCAGCAGUGGGGAAUAUUGCACAAUGGGCGGAAGCCUGAUGCAGCAACGCCGCGUGCGGGAUGACGGCCUUCGGGUUGUAAACCGCUUUCGCCUGUGACGAAGCGUGAGUGACGGUAAUGGGUAAAGAAGCACCGGCUAACUACGUG
rnacentral:rRNA from 1 species